UAAGUCACUUGUCUGUGUAAGAAACUGCCCUCUAAAGAGUGGUAUUUAAAUGAAGAUAAGAAGUGACAACUUCAACACCCGCUAAUUGCUUCCUGGUGACACAGAGUGCAUAUAUUAAUUAGACAAGCUCAUUCAAAACCGGAGGAAAAGGGCUGCAUUCCCUCUGCCUUUACCUGUAUUUGGUUUGGCCCACAGCCAACCUAGUGCAGAUCUGUGGUUUCACGCUCUCUUUCCUUCAGCUUCUGAGUUGUGGCCUUUAAUUCCUUCGCUGAAGUAAGGACUCAUGGUUUAAAUGAGAAUGCAGUGCUCCAUUGAUUUGAAGAGUCAACAUUUCCAGGAUGCUCAGGAGAAAAUGUUUUACACACUUUAAAUUUAAGAUAAGUCUGGAAGGUGUAUAAUUUUAGAUUUGAUGCUUUUUUAUUAAAGGGAUAGCCCACCUAAAAAGGAAAAUUCUGUCAUCAUUUACUUACCCAUCAUAUCGAUCUAAAACUGCAUGCCACUUUUUUUUUCU